rnacentral:tRNA from 1 species
GGAGUUGUAGCUCAGUGGCAGAGCACUCACCUCGCAAGUGUGAGGCACUGGGUUCAAUCCUAAGCACCA